rnacentral:tRNA from 1 species
ACCUGGCUGGCUCACUGGUAGAGCAUAAGACUCUUGAUCUCAGAAUUGUGAGUUCAAGCCCCAUGCUGGAUG